GGAUUUACCCGCAAGGAUGCGGGUAAAAGGCGCAGCCGGCACAGGGAUGUGCCGUCUGCGCCGGUCCGUCACGUUGA
rnacentral:sRNA from 1 species